CCCAGCUGUAGGCAACUGCCUAGCUUGCAUUGUACCUAGGUAAGUGUUCCACUGCUGGGAGAGAAACACUGACUACUGCCCACAGGUGCACACAAA
ensembl:snoRNA SNORA74 Small nucleolar RNA SNORA74